rnacentral:rRNA from 1 species
CCUACGGGGGGCUGCAGUGAGGAAUAUUGGUCAAUGGGCGAGAGCCUGACCCAGCCACGUCGCGUGAGGGAGUACUGCCCUAUGGGUUGUAAACCUCUUUUGUCGGGGAGCAAAAGCCGGACGUGUCCGGCUGUGAGAGUACCCGAAGAAAAAGCAUCGGCUAACUCCGUGCCAGCAGCCGCGGUAAGACGGAGGAUGCGAGCGUUAUCGGGAUUUGUUGGGUUUAAAGGGUGCGCAGGCGGAUUUUUAAUUCAGCGGGCAAAGCGUGGGGCUCAACCCCAUCCAGCCGUUGAAACUGGGGAUCUAGAGUGUGCGAGAGGUAUGCGGAAUGCGUGGUGUAGCGGUGAAAUGCAUAGAUAUCACGCAGAACCCCGAUGGCGAAGGCAGCAUACCGGUGCACAACUGACGCUCAGGCACGAAAGCGUGGGUAGCGAACAGGAUUAGAUACCCUAGUAGUC